GUCUGCAUGUAUGUCUUUUACUAUAUACUGUAGUGCCGAGAUAUACAUGUAUUAACAACGGCUUAUUGACCGAGCGUGAGGUCUGUACUGUGAAAUAUCAGACCGAGGUUUUUUAGUAAAAAUUUCCCGCCAGAUAAACGACAUCCGGGACACCGGUCCAGAUACGGAAAAUACGGACCACGGUCCGGAUAUAGGUUUUUACGGACCGCUUGUCAACCAAUCAGAAUAGAUUUUGAAAAGCCAUAUAAUAAGUAUAGGUUAUUUACCGGCUGGGAGGUCUGCACGUGUACUGAAAAAAAAAAACAAAAAAAAAACGUGAAGAAAAUAAAAAGCCUUGAGUAAAAUUCAAUGCUUUUCUACUCAACAAGACAAUCGCAGAAGGUAAACUAUAAAAUGAUUUAUUUUCCAUAUCGGCUUACAGUAUGAAUAUGCUUGAAAAAUACAAAUUUCAGUUGCCGAAAACAUUCUGUUCAUUACAACAUUGAUAAAAAAUAUUUGACCGAACUACGCCGGCCAGGAUUAGAAUCGAGUAUCAAUCGGAAUCGAUUACUACAACUGAAUACUGUGUUUAUCCAUGGUCUGUCAAGAUAUGGACUAUGGUGGUGUGGAAACCGGCAAAAUUCAAAACCACAAAUUAAAUAGAACACCUUAAUUUGAUGUUGCAUGAGCUGUGCACAAAUCGUGGUUGCACGUUUCAUCUCAUCGUCGCUUUGGACGAAUACUUAAUUAUACGAACUUGUAAUGAGCUCAAUCACCGUGAUCUUGCGCAAAUCAACAUAAACUCAGAAAAAAAUAUAACGCAAUGACUUCUGUUCACUUUCCAGACCAUCAUAUCUUGAUAGACUAUAGAAUUAUCAUUGGGAAAUACAUGCAAAGGCAUUUCCUGUUCUGUCUUCAUGUCAUCCAUCGCUGCAGCGUUGGUCUCCGGUAAGAACAAUUCGUACGUCCCCUGGAAAUCCUGGAAAACGCUGGAUUUUUUAUUAGUCCUGAAAAACCCUGGAAUUUCAAAUUUAUCCCUGGAAAACGGAUAAACUGAGCUGCGUACUAUAGGUUCAUACCUAUAGCCAUCAUCCCGCAUAGACAUAGUUUUGAUCAAAUUGAGUUACGAAUUUGAUGAAUUUUCCUCGGAAUUUUGGAAAAAUUAACUCGUUUUAAAGUGAUGAGAGAAGAAAAAAACACAAUGUAGAAGAAGUAUUACAGUUAUUUCUUAC